GUGCUUGCUUCCGCAGCACAUAUUCUAAAAUUGGAACGAUACAGAGAUGAUUAGCAUGGCCCCUGCGCAAGGAUGAUAAUAAAUUUAAAGCCUUGUGAAUAAAUGUG